AAUUCAUGAUGGGGGCAUGAACACAACAAUUCCUUGAAUCAUUGAAAUGCAUCCUGGAAUUCUUCGUUGGUUUUUCUUGCAAAAUCUUGUAUUUCUUUUCUUAUUUU